GUCAAAAUGCAUUCUGGGUCGGGACUCUAUCUGGAGGGCGAUUUGAGAAAUAAAAAUCCCGUAAUUUGCUUAAACGAUGUGAGGGGAAAAAAAAGAUGAAAAACUACAAAAAAACCUCAUUUGUGCAAAUGAGUUUCUAAUCUCACAGAAUGUUGCCAAUGGGAAAUGAGGCAAAACAGUUUCUAAUGCUUAAAUGUCCUGCCAAAAUCAAGCCAAAGCCUGCUUUUUCAUCAAGGUUAGACCAUUCCCAGAAGUGCUCCUUAGCAACUGACCUUGAUUUCUGCCUUCUUCAACAAACUGAAAGAAACACUUCAGGAAUGAGGAAAAACAUGUAAUUCUUCAUGUCUAACGUUUUAUUUGGGUUUGAGAGAAGCAAGGAAAAGACAUUAAAAAAAACGUAAACACUUAGUAUGGCUGUUUUAAUCUUUUACAGAGCGCCUUGCAUCACAUUUUUUUACUUUUUAGUGAGGAAGACAGCUAGAGAUGCGAACAAAACAAGUAUAUACAUGUCAAAAUGCUUACAGUAUCUUAGUCUUCACUUUAAUGUGGAUUCACAGCAAACUAUUGGUUUGUGUACGUUUGCAGACUGGCUCUUGAACACUCCUAAACUUGCAGGACUAUACCUUAUGAACUA